UGCUACUAGGCAAUCCUUACCUACUUUCCUUAAUUAUUUCCGCCACUCCAGCAGGAUUCUGCUGAGCGCCUCUCCUUCGCCGAGAAGCUGGCGUUUCUCUCCAUCACUCCUUGCAGCCACUCAAGUUCCAGAGCACCCCCUGCAGGCCCGGGCUCCUCCUGAGCGCUACCAGAGGCGCCUGUGACUGCUUUCGGGAAAACCACUGCCCGCCUGCCCGCAGACGACCUCAGCUCACCGUGCACGCUCAUCUCACCCGCUAAGUAAUCGUAGCCAUCUCGGGGACUUUCAGCAACUCGAAAAGGGUAUUUCCUAAAUAUUUGGUCUUGCAACGUACGCCCAUAUCUCAGCUCCUAACUUUGGAACACGGCCCUUGGUGUUCUCUUUCAAGACCCUGCUAACAGCCAGCCCCCAUCAGUACAAAAGAACCACCUCUGGCACAGCUCAUCCCUGGAUCACACUGAAAACUCCUCCUCAUCUACUUGUCUGGGACAGAUCAGCUCCCUGCCAACUCUCUGGGUUGUGGCUAUAUAUUGCACUUAAGGAAAAUUCUCCUGGCAGCUCAUCCCCAAUUUCAUUCCCACAGGGAGACAGGAAUACGUGGAAUGUGAAGCGAAUUCAAUACCCAUUCUACAGCAACCUCAAAUUGCUGAGAAAAUGACAGUGUGGUGAUGGCUGCCCUUGCGACUUUCAGCAAUCCUUCACCCCCAAAGACAGAAAGCAGCAAGAUGUUGGAUGAACUGAUCGCAGGCAGGCUGUGCUGCUGAGAGAAUUCUUACAUCACUUGUAAGUCCAAAGUCUGCUGCUCUCUUUCUAGCUCAGCAAGUCAACAGUCCAGGCUAAGUCAUGUAACCAGCCUGAACCCCCUGUUUACUCAUCUGUAACAUGGGACCACACGACCUCACUUCCUGUCACUCUUUGCAAAGAGAAGUAGAUACCCGGAGAAGAGCUGAAUCAUUACAAUUAUUUCCUUAUAUGUAUGGUCCUGGUGAUAUGUUAAUGCCUGAAAGGAUUUGCUCCAGUAUUUGAGGUGCUCAAGGGCAUCAUGAAGGGAAAGCCAUUCACCUGUGUCCUAGGCCUGCUGUUUAACACUUCUACUGAGGCAAUGGUUUCAAACAACAUCUACUCAUUUCUCACAGUUUUGGAGGCUAAAAAUCCCAACUCCAGCAGGCUGUGGCCCCCUUCCAAGGCUCCAGAGACGAAGCUACUCUUCUUUUGGCUGUCAUAUCUCCCUCUGCCUCUCAUUUUAAAGAACAUUCUUAAGGACAUUCAGGGCUCAAUGUGUAAUCUAGAAUGUCUUCACCUCAAGAUUCUUAAAUUAAUGACAUCUAAAAAACUUUUUCCAAAUAAGAUAACAUCCAUGGGUUUUGGAGAAUAAGACAUGGACAUAUUUGGGGGGGGGGGGUCAUCAUUCAACCUUCAAAUUACCCCUAACUUACCAAUGUCCCUUUCCUCUUGCUCUUUCUUCUUCUCUUUCUCCAUUUAUACCAUAGAAACUGUGGACAUGUGGUAAGACCCCAGUGGUAAAUAAGUCCAGAGUAGUGCUGGCCUCCUGAAGGCACAGCUUGCCUUCAAUACUCAAUGUCACACUUAAAGCAACUCCCUGGUUAAAUGCUAUCCCCAUUUAAAUGAGAGAAAGUAAAUGCCUGGAGACAUUAAGUGACUUGGCCAUACCAAUUCAGCUGGGUAGACGUUUACCUGACUGAUAAAUCCCGCUUCCUUCUGCUACCCAGCCUUCCUAACUCCCUUGCCUUCUUAACUUUUCCAGGCUAAUUCAACAGGUAUUCACUGGAGCCACAUGGGAAAUAUUCCUUCCUUCUCAAAGGAAGCUGGCAAAGUUCUUUUCAGUAGAUAUUGCCAAGUUUUCCUCUUCUAACCAGCUUUAUACAUGUUCUUUCCUCUCCUCGUAUUCUUGGAUGCAUUGUAAGUUCUCAUUUAUCUUCAAAACAUGAUCCUGACAGUAAGCUUUCUCAGGCCAUCAGAGAUCAGCUAUCAUCUCUCUUAUUCAAUUCACAGCCCUCCCACUGAUCUAACUCUUGGUAAUUCAACUUUCCUUUGCUCUGUCAGCUGGAGUUCAGUCUAAGCUGUUUGCUCUCUCUGGGCCUAGUUCUUAUCCGACUUAUCUUUUGUCCAUAUUUGUGCCCUUGCUUAUUCUUUCCUGAAUGGUCGCUUUGCACAUACCCUCUUAGAAUUCCAUACCUUUAAUUUCCAGCUUGCUUUCCUACAAUUAGAUUAGAGAUUUUUAGCCUUCAAAAUGUCUGCUUCCUUUCCUGACAUUGGUCGGGUUAACUCUUUCUAGACUACGCCGAUAGGAAAAACU